CGCGAAGCUUCGAACUUAAGCCCCAGUGAAUGGCGGCCGUAACUAUAACGGUCCUAAGGUAGCGAAAUUCCUUGUCGGGUAAGUUCCGACCUGCACGAAUGGCGUAACGACUUGGCUACUGUCUCAACCGGAGACUCGGCGAAAUUGCAAUACGAGUAAAGAUGCUCGUUUCCCGCACCAGGACGGUAAGACCCCGUGCACCUUUACUGCAACUUGAUGUUGGGUUUGGGUAUGAACUGUGUAGGAUAGCUGGGAGACUGCGAAGCAGAGGCGUCAGCUUUUGUGGAGUCAACCUUGAAAUACCAGCCUGUUCAUAUCGGAACCUCUCACCACAGGCCCUAGAUCGGGUCUUGGGACAGCGUCAGGUGGGUAGUUUGACUGGGGCGGUCGCCUCCUAAAGAGUAUCGGAGGCGUCCAAAGUUAUACUCAGCCUGGUUGGCAAUCAGGCGUCGAGCGCAAAAGUAUAAGUAUGAUUGACUGCAAGACCUACAAGUCAAGCAGGGACGAAAGUCGGGUUUAGUGACCCAGCGGCAGCUUGUGGAAGCGCCGUUGAUUAACGGAUAAAAGGUACGCCGGGGAUAACAGGCUCAUUUUGCCCAAUAGUUCACAUAGACGGCAAAGUUUGGCACCUCGAUGUCGGCUCGUCGCAUCCUGGGGGUGUAGCCACUCCCAAGGGUUGGGCUGUUCGCCCAUUAAAGCGGUACGCGAGCUGGGUUCAGAACGUCGCGAGACAGUUCGGUCCCUAUCCGGUGUGGGCGUAAGAGAUUUGAGGAAAUCUGUUCCUAGUACGAGAGGACCGGAAUGGACGUGGCUCUCGUGUGACAGUUGUCCUGCCAAGGGCAUGGCUGUUUAGCGACCCACGGAAAAGAUAAACGCUGAAAGCAUCUAAGCGUGAAACUUGUUCCAAGAUGAGAUCUCUCAUGUGGUUAACACAGUAAGACCCCUUAUAGACCAUGAGGUUGAUAGGCCAGAAGUGUACGGACAGUAAUGUUCUUAGCUGACUGGUACUAAUCGGUCGAGGGCUUGAGUAU
rnacentral:rRNA from 1 species